CUUCUCUAAGCCUCUUCUGGUAAGGGCUUCCGAGAUAGUUUUUACAUGCAGGAAGAGAGAACAAGUGCAGGCAACGUCCAAGGUCCUCUUGUUUUGCAGAUCACUGCACAACAGACCCUCAGGUAGAACAAGUUUAGAUAGUGACUCUUAACCAAAGUACAAGUUAGCAUCACCUGGAAGACUUUACUAACCAUGGUUGGCUGAGAGUCUGUGGGAGCAGAAGAGGAAACUGAGGCUUUAGAGAACUGUAGCACAUUGGCAAGGACAUCCAGCUCAUAAACAGGUCUCGCUCUGUGGCCCAGGCUGGAGAGUAUGGUGCAAUCAAGGCUCACUGCCCCAUGUUCAAGCCAUCCUCCCACCUCAGCCUCCCAGAUAGCUGGGACUAGAGACACACAUCACCACGCAUGGCUCUGGGUUACUUCAAUAAGUAUUUUUCAAUAAAUAUUUCUUCAAUAAAUAUUUAAUAACACAAAGCUCAUGAAAA
rnacentral:lncRNA from 1 species